rnacentral:rRNA from 1 species
GUAGUCCACGCCCUAAACGAUGCGAACUAGGUGUUGGGGAAGGAGACUUCCUUAGUACCGCAGCUAACGCGUGAAGUUCGCCGCCUGGGGAGUACGGUCGCAAGAUUAAAACUCAAAGGAAUUGACGGGGACCCGCACAAGCGGUGGAUGAUGUGGAUUAAUUCGAUGCAACGCGAAAAACCUUACCUACCCUUGACAUGUACGGAAGCUUCUCGAGAGGGAGGCGUGCCCGAAAGGGAGCCGUAACACAGGUGCUGCAUGGCUGUCGUCAGCUCGUGUCGUGAGAUGUUGGGUUAAGUCCCGCAACGAGCGCAACCCUUGUCAUUAGUUGCUACAUUCAGUUGGGCACUCUAAUGAGACUGCCGGUGACAAACCGGA